GGGUGAGUAAUAUAUCGGAACGUGCCCAGUCGUGGGGGAUAACGUAGAGAAAUUUACGCUAAUACCGCAUACGAUCUACGGAUGAAAGCGGGGGAUUCGCAAGAACCUCGCGCGAUUGGAGCGGCUGAUAUCAGAUUAGGUUGUUGGUGAGGUAAAAGCUCACCAAGCCGACGAUCUGUAGCUGGUUUGAGAGAACGACCAGCCACACUGGGACUGAGACACGGCCCAGACUCCUACGGGAGGCAGCAGUGGGGAAUUUUGGACAAUGGGCGAAAGCCUGAUCCAGCAAUGCCGCGUGCAGGAAGAAGGCCUUCGGGUUGUAAACUGCUUUUGUACGGAACGAAACGGUCCUUUCUAAUAAAGAGGGCUAAUGACGGUACCGUAAGAAUAAGCACCGGCUAACUACGUGCCAGCAGCCGCGGUAAUACGUAGGGUGCGAGCGUUAAUCGGAAUUACUGGGCGUAAAGCGUGCGCAGGCGGUUCUAUAAGACAGAUGUGAAAUCCCCGGGCUCAACCUGGGAAUGGCAUUUGUGACUGUAGAGCUAGAGUACGGUAGAGGGGGAUGGAAUUCCGCGUGUAGCAGUGAAAUGCGUAGAUAUGCGGAGGAACACCGAUGGCGAAGGCAAUCCCCUGGACCUGUACUGACGCUCAUGCACGAAAGCGUGGGGAGCAAACAGGAUUAGAU
rnacentral:rRNA from 1 species